rnacentral:tRNA from 1 species
GGGGAUAUAGCUCAGCUGGUAAGAGUGUUUGCCUCACAUGCAUAAGGCCCUGGGUUCGACCCCCAGCACCA